rnacentral:tRNA from 1 species
GGCUUGGUAAGAACGGGACUU